rnacentral:rRNA from 1 species
CUCAGUUCGGAUCGGAGUCUGCAACCCGACUCCGUGAAGCUGGAUUCGCUAGUAAUCGCGCAUCAGCCAUGGCGCGGUGAAUACGUUCCCGGGCCUUGUACACACCGCCCGUCAAGCCAUGGGAGCCGGGGGUGCUUGAAGUGCGUCGCCGCAAGGCGCGCCCUAGAGCAAAACCGGUGACUGGGGCUAAGUCGUAACAAGGUAUC